rnacentral:rRNA from 1 species
CCAGACUCCUACGGGAGGCAGCAGUGAGGAAUAUUGGGCAAUGGGGGCAACCCUGACCCAGCCAUGCCGCGUGAGUGAAGAAGGUCUUCGGAUUGUAAAGCUCUUUCGGACGUGACGAUGAUGACGGUAGCGUCUAAAGAAGCACCGGCAAACUUCGUGCCAGCAGCCGCGGUAAUACGGAGGAUGCGAGCGUUAUCCGGAUUUAUUGGGUUUAAAGGGUGCGUAGGCGGAAUGCCAAGUCAGCGGUAAAAUCGCGGGGCUCAACCUCGCUCCGCCGUUGAAACUGGCGUUCUUGAGUGGGCGAGAAGUAUGCGGAAUGCGUGGUGUAGCGGUGAAAUGCAUAGAUAUCACGCAGAACUCCGAUUGCGAAGGCAGCAUACCGGCGCCCAACUGACGCUGAAGCACGAAAGCGUGGGUAUCGAACAGGAUUAGAUACCCCAGUA